rnacentral:rRNA from 1 species
CCUACGGGAGGCAGCAGUAGGGAAUCUUCCGCAAUGGACGAAAGUCUGACGGAGCAACGCCGCGUGAACGAUGAAGGCCUUCGGGUCGUAAAGUUCUGUUGUUAGGGAAGAACAAGUGCUAGUUGAAUAAGCUGGCACCUUGACGGUACCUAACCAGAAAGCCACGGCUAACUACGUGCCAGCAGCCGCGGUAAUACGUAGGUGGCAAGCGUUGUCCGGAAUUAUUGGGCGUAAAGCGCGCGCAGGCGGUUUCUUAAGUCUGAUGUGAAAGCCCCCGGCUCAACCGGGGAGGGUCAUUGGAAACUGGGAAACUUGAGUGCAGAAGAGGAAAGUGGAAUUCCAAGUGUAGCGGUGAAAUGCGUAGAGAUUUGGAGGAACACCAGUGGCGAAGGCGACUUUCUGGUCUGUAACUGACGCUGAGGCGCGAAAGCGUGGGGAGCAAACAGGAUUAGAUACCCUGGUAGCCCACGCUGUAAACGAUGAGUGCUAAGUGUUAGAGGGUUUCCGCCCUUUAGUGCUGAAGUUAACGCAUUAAGCACUCCGCCUGGGGAGUACGGUCGCAAGACUGAAACUUAAGGAAUUGACGG